CUUUCAGCGACGGAUAUCUCGGCUCAGGCACCUAUGA
rnacentral:rRNA from 2 species